UCCAGGGGCCGGGCUCUGCCUCAUCGCACUCGGCUCCCAGCGUGGCAGGUCUCCAGGCUGCGGGUGACCCCGAGGGGACGUGAGGAGGCCCCUCCCCCGGGUCAGCGCGGACAGCCGCUCCGAGGGGCCGGCUGCGGCCGGGACGCGGAGGACGGGGCAGGUGCACGGGGCCGCCAGAGGCCCGCCCCGCCGUUACUCACACACGGUUGCCACGGAGUUGACUGACCCUCCAGGAAAGAGGUGAAGCAGACACCCAGGGGUGGACCAGCCCAGAGCCGGGGCAUCCGCCUCAGGACGAGAGCAGGGUUUUACUUGGAAGAGGGGGGUUCCCGGUGUUGCUUGAAGCCGGCCUCUCUAGAGCUCUACCCACUAUGGCAGCUGAUUACCCUCCGGACAUGAAAACACAUAAAGAAGAAAUGCCAAGAUGCACUAGACACAGCCCCUGACAUCUGUAGCUCAGGCCGGCUGGAGAUCCCUUCACCUCUCAGCUUCCCUCCAUCUGCCCAGCUUCUGCCGCUUCCUCCCAAUGUCCACCUGCCAUUUCUCUCUCCCUCCCCCACGCUGGUCCAUUCUGCUCCCUGUCCGGACCACAAGUCAGGACGUCCGCGGUGUAAGUCCGGCAAGACCAGGAAGAAGGCAGCACCCAGGGGCUGGGUGGCAGGCACAAGGGGCCACGUCUGCCUGGCAACCCUGAAUCGGGGAGCAGGGGAAGCAGGAGAGCUGCAGGAACACCUUUGUGGAUGGGCCCCACGUCUGGUAUGGCUGAGCUUCCAGAAGAAGCCCCCGCGUGAGAGCGUAAGGCCGGGAGGGGAUCUCUGAACGCUGCUCAGCAGAGCCCCUUGUGCACUUGGCCUCUGUGAGUUGAUGAUUUGUCCUGGGUGGAGAGUCAGUGUCUCUGGAAUUCAUUUGG